rnacentral:rRNA from 1 species
GACGAACGCUGGCGGCAGGCUUAACACAUGCAAGUCGAACGGGUGCAGCAAUGCAUCAGUGGCAGACGGGUGAGUAAUACAUGGGUAACCUACCCUCGAGUGGGGAAUAACUAGCCGAAAGGUUAGCUAAUACCGCGUACGCUCCUUGGACUUCGGUUCAGGGAGGAAAGCGAUACCGUGGGUAUCGCGCUCUUGGUUGGGCUCAUGUCCUAUCAGCUUGUUGGUGAGGAACGGCUCACCAAGGCUUCGACGGGUAGCUGGUCUGAGGGGACGAUCAGCCACACUGGCACUGCGACACGGGCCAGACUCCUACGGGAGGCAGCAGUAAGGAAUAUUGCGCAAUGGGCGAAAGCCUGACGCAGCGACGCCGCGUGGGGGA